GAUGAACGCUGGCGGCGUGCUUAAUACAUGCAAGUCGAACGAAGACAGUAGCAAUAUUGUCUGAGUGGCGAACGGGUGAGUAACGCGUUGGUGACCUGCCCCGAAGAGAGGGAUAACAGUCCGAAAGGAUUGCUAAUACCCCAUGUGGUCGUUUGGAUUAGAUGCCUUAUGACUAAACGGAUUUAUUCGCUUCGGGAGGGGCCUGCGUCCCAUCAGCUAGUCGGUAGGGUAAUGGCCUACCAAGGCGAUGACGGGUAGGGGACCUGAGAGGGUGGCCCACCACAAUGGAACUGAAACACGGUCCAUACACCUACGGGUGGCAGCAGUAGGGAAUAUUGGUUAAUCUGGGAAACCGGGAACCAGCAACGCCGCGUGCACGAUGAAGGCCUUCGGGUUGUAAAGUGCUUUCUGAAAGGAUGAGGAAGGACAGUACUUUCAGAAUAAGCUUCGGCUAACUACGUGCCAGCAGCCGCGGUAAUAC
rnacentral:rRNA from 1 species